UGAAGUAGAAAAUGGAGAGGUAUUUUGAGCUAGAAUGUGAGGGAGAUUGAUGUGUCAUAUAUAGUAUGUAUCCUUGCAGUGGUUUAAGAAUGAUGCUACCCUUGUCUAGACGGUUUAUCUUGUCAAAUUCAAUAUGAUUUUUCAAAUCCAUACUUGUUGAACUUGCAUACCGUGUUCAUCUCGGUGAGCAUGUUCUCUGCCGAGCAGCAACGUACGUCAAGGAGGAGCUCCAAUUCUACGAGAAAGAGCGGAUACAGACAUCAUGGAAGACCGUGUCCCCUUUUUCGUAGAAUCAAAGCUCUUCCAUGAUGAAGUACGAGGCCACCCAGUUGAGAAUGUGCUCGCUAGAUGAUCACGGUCUUCAAGUUCAACAAGUUUUGCAAUGCUAAGGUAUGAAUUUUUGCA
rnacentral:lncRNA from 1 species